CAAGAUUUUCAACUUCUUACAUUUCUUUGACUCGUCACCAUCUACAACUAUGUACUAUGUUGAUAAUAUUAAGUGCUCACUAAUCUCUGCUGUUUAUGUGUUUGUUUUUAACAUGUCAGCCGUUUUGGACGGUUAGUUUUUGAAGGCCUACGAAAUUGCGAAGUGUUGGGAUUUGCAUCUGCCUAGAAGUUAAUAUUUUCAGAAUAAGUUAGUGACUACAAACGUUUACUUGGUUAAUAUAUAUUUGGAAGACUGUCAUUGGCAUAUGUGUAAUGAAGCAAAAUAUGAAGUUCCUGCUGUGUAAUCCAGUUUGAUAGACCUCACUUAGUGCUUCAUCUAAUGAUGUAACACAACUGUUUCUUGUUGCUGUGAAACUACUACACCUUCAAGUUCUAUAAGGUAAGCAGUAAUUUUUCUUUAUUUUUUUUUUUAAUAAAACUACUAUUUUAAAAUGAUCACUAUAGUGGUAGGCUGUUUCAGAAUAGUAAGGAUAUAUGUCCUCUACCGACGCAGCGUUAACCAAAGGUUCCUUAAGUUUCAAGGCUGCAUUCAAUGAGGAACUUGCAGUGAAAGAAUAUUCAGUCUUUAUGAUAAUAACAGCGUAUCAACAAAGUAAUAUAUUUGUGGCAGUAAUUUAUUUGUGUUUAGAAUCUUUAAUUUUUCAUGAAAUUUUCCAUUUGUGAAGUUUAAGUUGAUCGGUUAACAGUAAUAGAUAGACAGAUCUGUGGACAACAGUCUGCCGGCUAAACAAACAACUGUCAUCACAUUUAUACUAAACCAGUGCUGCAAGCUGCUGAAGAGCUACAAGGAUGCAUGAAAGGCUGCAUUAUGGAUACUUUAAGAAUCCUUGAAACUGUUUGCAAGGUCAACAAAAAUGGGUGAUGCUCUUUAAGUCUUCUCGGUAAGGUAGAGUAAACUAUAUAACUAUCUCUCUUCUACCUAUUUUCAUUUUAAUUGCUUUUAAGCACAUGUUCCACGUAGAGUUUAAGGGAGCCAAUUCUUUGCCACACUAGGUGAAAUAGUGCCUCUGAGAGGGAUUUUGUUUAGCAAGUCUCUGUCGCUACAUCGAGAGUGCAAACAUUUUGCAAGCUAGCACAGAACAAUCUAAAGUGCUAGGCAUGCACAUAAAAUAUUGCAAAAGAAAACACUGUUGAUAUUCAAAACACAGUACACACCAUUUAAAAAAAUCCUUAAAAAAUUAUUCAGAUCACUUAAUAAAAUAACAUAUGCUUCUAUAUUCUUAGUUUACUGUAAGUUAUGUAAAAUCCCAAAAAUAACAGAUACAUUUUUAUUCCAUUUUUGGUCCUUUAUUAAUAAGUGCUAUUACAAAAAAAAAAUAUAUUUGUAGUUAAAGUUUGAAUGCAAAUAAUAUGUCACUUUUUUACUAUUCAGUAUUUUCUUGUAAUUAUAUGCUAAUCUGGAAUCACAGUUCCACGAUGGGCCCGACAUGCUCAGUAGCCAUUGAAAUACGAGUUCGCAGUGACAUUACCCCUGCAAAUUACGCGUCCUGAGUGCCCACAAGGAAUAGAUUCUAUGUCUAAUUUUGUCGUGUCGCCUGACAGAAAGCAAAAUAGAAAUGGAUAGGAACCUUACAGAAUUUAACUUCAAAAAUAUUUACCAACUUGGUAAAUUUUUAUGCUGAAAAAUGAAAUUUCAUUUUACAUGUGAGUAUACUUUAAUAUUUGUAACUUGCCUUCAUCUGUUUAUAUAAACAGAUACCAUUGUGUUUGUGGUCAAUGUUGUAGAUUGGUGAAGAUUUAAUUUAGGAAUGGACGAGUUUGUGAAUAACUUGUAAUUAAUAAAGUUCAGACUCAUGGUAUUUUGUAUGAAAUUGGGUUGAAGGACUACAAAAAUUAGCCAUAAAAGAUAAAGCGGGCUGAGAUUUCAUGUUCAUUUUCUCUUCUACACUGUUUUUAGUGCAUUCUAUACUGCAUAUUAUGCAAGUACUUGGCUUGGAACAAUUUGCCAACAGCCAAAUCAGAAAUCGUCAGGUUAAUCUUUUGGUAUUGUGACCCUACGCUAUUAAAUCUGUCGUGCUGGAAUGCUGUGUGACAGUUUGUUGGAUUUGUUGUGAUGUGUUCGUCGUUGCAUUGUUUAUGACUCUAGCUUUAGGCUAAUGAAGGUAAAUGGUAAAUAACAGCAGUUUUUUUAUGAUCCAGCUACCGUCUACAAGUGGUUACUUAGCUGUAUGUAUUUUUGUUUGAAACCAUAGGUGUAAUUGGCAUGAAUAUCUUAGCUGCCAUUUGACUAUGACUAAGAAGAAUGAUUAAUGUAUCUUUUAUCCAUUCUUCUGAAGCUACAAAAAAUUUAUUGACAUGAUUAAUUUUUAAAUAAAUGAAGCACUUACAGAUCUGUUUUUUCCUUACUUAUUGACAACUUUUCGUAAGGUUUCUGUAAUUUUAGUAAAAAUUAUAUUGGUUUCACAUAUAUUUUCACUAGUGCAGGUUUACAUCUAAAACCUUUUGUCAGACAUUUAUAAAUAAAUUGAAAAAGUUACCAUUUUAAUUGUCCACCAGUGGGCUCGAAAGCUAGGGUCCUAAAGUGUGUAGUCAAAGUUUGUCAGGAUUGAUUCUCGGCUGGUUCAGAAAUUGUUCUAAUUUAUUUUUCCCUGGAUCAUAAUUAGUUACUCGAGUUCCUUUGCUCUCACGCUAUGAAAGGCAACUGAAAACAUCCACAAAAAUCUCUCUUUUAGCAUCUCGAGUGCACCUAGGUUACAAUAACCACAUAACCACAAUGUUCGCUGCCACCUUGUGAGUCUGAGACCGUUUCUAGCUGCCCCGUUCUCAUCACAAGACCUAAAAAAAACAAA